rnacentral:rRNA from 1 species
GGACGAACGCUGGCGGCGUGCCUAACACAUGCAAGUCGAGCGAGGAGAUCCUCGGGAUGAUCCUAGCGGCGGACGGGUGAGUAACACGUGGGCGAACCUGCCUCAUAGAGAGGAAUAGCCUUCCGAAAGGGAGAUUAAUACCUCAUAACAUUGCAGUUUCGCAUGGAACAGCAAUUAAAGGAGUAAUCCGCUAUGAGAUGGGCCCGCGGCGCAUUAGCUAGUUGGUGAGGUAACGGCUCACCAAGGCGACGAUGCGUAGCCGACCUGAGAGGGUGAUCGGCCACAUUGGGACUGAGACACGGCCCAGACUCCUACGGGAGGCAGCAGUGGGGAAUAUUGCACAAUGGGGGGAAACCCUGAUGCAAGCAACGCCGCGUGAGUGAUGACGGCCUUCGGGUUGUAAAGCUCUGUCUUCAGGGACGAUAAUGACGGUACCUGAGGAGGAAGCCACGGCUAACUACGUGCCAGCCGCUGC